rnacentral:rRNA from 1 species
UACAGAGGUCUCAAGCGUUGUUCGGAUUCAUUGGGCGUAAAGGGUGCGUAGGUGGCGCGGUAAGUCGGGUGUGAAAUCUCGGAGCUUAACUCCGAAAUUGCAUUCGAUACUGCCGUGCUUGAGGACUGGAGAGGAGACUGGAAUUCAUGGUGUAGCAGUGAAAUGCGUAGAUAUCGUAAGGAAGACCAGUGGCGAAGGCGGGUCUCUGGACAGUUCCUGACGCUGAGGCACGAAGGUCAGGGGAGCAAACGGG